ACGUGGUAUCCUGUCUGAAUAUGGGGGGACCAUCCUCCAAGGCUAAAUACUCCUGACUGACCGAUAGUGAACCAGUACCGUGAGGGAAAGGCGAAAAGAACCCCGGCGAGGGGAGUGAAAAAGAACCUGAAACCGUGUACGUACAAGCAGUGGGAGCACGCUUAGGCGUGUGACUGCGUACCUUUUGUAUAAUGGGUCAGCGACUUAUAUUCUGUAGCAAGGUUAACCGAAUAGGGGAGCCGAAGGGAAACCGAGUCUUAACUGGGCGUUAAGUUGCAGGGUAUAGACCCGAAACCCGGUGAUCUAGCCAUGGGCAGGUUGAAAGUUGGGUAACACUAACUGGAGGACCGAACCGACUAAUGUUGAAAAAUUAGCGGAUGACUUGUGGCUGGGGGUGAAAGGCCAAUCAAACCGGGAGAUAGCUGGUUCUCCCCGAAAGCUAUUUAGGUAGCGCCUCGUGAAUUCAUCUCCGGGGGUAGAGCACUGUUUCGGCAAGGGGGUCAUCCCGACUUACCAACCCGAUGCAAACUGCGAAUACCGGAGAAUGUUAUCACGGGAGACACACGGCGGGUGCUAACGUCCGUCGUGAAGAGGGAAACAACCCAGACCGCCAGCUAAGGUCCCAAAGUCAUGGUUAAGUGGGAAACGAUGUGGGAAGGCCCAGACAGCCAGGAUGUUGGCUUAGAAGCAGCCAUCAUUUAAAGAAAGCGUAAUAGCUCACUGGUCGAGUCGGCCUGCGCGGAAGAUGUAACGGGGCUAAACCAUGCACCGAAGCUGCGGCAGCGACGCUGAUGCGUUGUUGGGUAGGGGAGCGUUCUGUAAGCCUGUGAAGGUGUGCUGUGAGGCAUGCUGGAGGUAUCAGAAGUGCGAAUGCUGACAUAAGUAACGAUAAAGCGGGUGAAAAGCCCGCUCGCCGGAAGACCAAGGGUUCCUGUCCAACGUUAAUCGGGGCAGGGUGAGUCGACCCCUAAGGCGAGGCCGAAAGGCGUAGUCGAUGGGAAACAGGUUAAUAUUCCUGUACUUGGUGUUACUGCGAAGGGGGGACGGAGAAGGCUAUGUUGGCCGGGCGACGGUUGUCCCGGUUUAAGCGUGUAGGCUGGUUUUCCAGGCAAAUCCGGAAAACUAAGGCUGAGGCGUGAUGACGAGGCACUACGGUGCUGAAGCAACAAAUGCCCUGCUUCCAGGAAAAGCCUCUAAGCAUCAGGUAACAUCAAAUCGUACCCCAAACCGACACAGGUGGUCAGGUAGAGAAUACCAAGGCGCUUGAGAGAACUCGGGUGAAGGAACUAGGCAAAAUGGUGCCGUAACUUCGGGAGAAGGCACGCUGAUAUGUAGGUGAAGUCCCUCGCGGAUGGAGCUGAAAUCAGUCGAAGAUACCAGCUGGCUGCAACUGUUUAUUAAAAACACAGCACUGUGCAAACACGAAAGUGGACGUAUACGGUGUGACGCCUGCCCGGUGCCGGAAGGUUAAUUGAUGGGGUCAGCGCAAGCGAAGCUCUUGAUCGAAGCCCCGGUAAACGGCGGCCGUAACUAUAACGGUCCUAAGGUAGCGAAAUUCCUUGUCGGGUAAGUUCCGACCUGCACGAAUGGCGUAAUGAUGGCCAGGCUGUCUCCACCCGAGACUCAGUGAAAUUGAACUCGCUGUGAAGAUGCAGUGUACCCGCGGCAAGACGGAAAGACCCCGUGAACCUUUACUAUAGCUUGACACUGAACAUUGAGCCUUGAUGUGUAGGAUAGGUGGGAGGCUUUGAAGUGUGGACGCCAGUCUGCAUGGAGCCGACCUUGAAAUACCACCCUUUAAUGUUUGAUGUUCUAACGUUGACCCGUAAUCCGGGUUGCGGACAGUGUCUGGUGGGUAGUUUGACUGGGGCGGUCUCCUCCUAAAGAGUAACGGAGGAGCACGAAGGUUGGCUAAUCCUGGUCGGACAUCAGGAGGUUAGUGCAAUGGCAUAAGCCAGCUUGACUGCGAGCGUGACGGCGCGAGCAGGUGCGAAAGCAGGUCAUAGUGAUCCGGUGGUUCUGAAUGGAAGGGCCAUCGCUCAACGGAUAAAAGGUACUCCGGGGAUAACAGGCUGAUACCGCCCAAGAGUUCAUAUCGACGGCGGUGUUUGGCACCUCGAUGUCGGCUCAUCACAUCCUGGGGCUGAAGUAGGUCCCAAGGGUAUGGCUGUUCGCCAUUUAAAGUGGUACGCGAGCUGGGUUUAGAACGUCGUGAGACAGUUCGGUCCCUAUCUGCCGUGGGCGCUGGAGAACUGAGGGGGGCUGCUCCUAGUACGAGAGGACCGGAGUGGACGCAUCACUGGUGUUCGGGUUGUCAUGCCAAUGGCACUGCCCGGUAGCUAAAUGCGGAAGAGAUAAGUGCUGAAAGCAUCUAAGCACGAAACUUGCCCCGAGAUGAGUUCUCCCUGACUCCUUGAGAGUCCUGAAGGAACGUUGAAG
rnacentral:rRNA from 1 species